rnacentral:rRNA from 1 species
GGGUUGUGAGGUUAAGCGACUAAGCGUACACGGUGGAUGCCCUGGCAGUCAGAGGCGAUGAAGGACGUGCUAAUCUGCGAUAAGCGUCGGUAAGGUGAUAUGAACCGUUAUAACCGGCGAUUUCCGAAUGGGGAAACCCAGUGUGAUUCGUCACACUAUCAUUAACUGAAUCCAUAGGUUAAUGAGGCGAACCGGGGGAACUGAAACAUCUAAGUACCCCGAGGAAAAGAAAUCAACCGAGAUUCCCCCAGUAGCGGCGAGCGAACGGGGAGCAGCCCAGAGCCUGAAUCAGUGUGUGUGUUAGUGGAAGCGUCUGGAAAGGCGUGCGAUACAGGGUGACAGCCCCGUACACAAAAAUGCACAUACUGUGAGCUCGAUGAGUAGGGCGGGACACGUGGUAUCCUGUCUGAAUAUGGGGGGACCAUCCUCCAAGGCUAAAUACUCCUGACUGACCGAUAGUGAACCAGUACCGUGAGGGAAAGGCGAAAAGAACCCCGGCGAGGGGAGUGAAAAAGAACCUGAAACCGUGUACGUACAAGCAGUGGGAGCACGCUUAGGCGUGUGACUGCGUACCUUUUGUAUAAUGGGUCAGCGACUUAUAUUCUGUAGCAAGGUUAACCGAAUAGGGGAGCCGAAGGGAAACCGAGUCUUAACUGGGCGUUAAGUUGCAGGGUAUAGACCCGAAACCCGGUGAUCUAGCCAUGGGCAGGUUGAAGGUUGGGUAACACUAACUGGAGGACCGAACCGACUAAUGUUGAAAAAUUAGCGGAUGACUUGUGGCUGGGGGUGAAAGGCCAAUCAAACCGGGAGAUAGCUGGUUCUCCCCGAAAGCUAUUUAGGUAGCGCCUCGUGAAUUCAUCUCCGGGGGUAGAGCACUGUUUCGGCAAGGGGGUCAUCCCGACUUACCAACCCGAUGCAAACUGCGAAUACCGGAGAAUGUUAUCACGGGAGACACACGGCGGGUGCUAACGUCCGUCGUGAAGAGGGAAACAACCCAGACCGCCAGCUAAGGUCCCAAAGUCAUGGUUAAGUGGGAAACGAUGUGGGAAGGCCCAGACAGCCAGGAUGUUGGCUUAGAAGCAGCCAUCAUUUAAAGAAAGCGUAAUAGCUCACUGGUCGAGUCGGCCUGCGCGGAAGAUGUAACGGGGCUAAACCAUGCACCGAAGCUGCGGCAGCGACGCUUAUGCGUUGUUGGGUAGGGGAGCGUUCUGUAAGCCUGUGAAGGUGUGCUGUGAGGUAUGCUGGAGGUAUCAGAAGUGCGAAUGCUGACAUAAGUAACGAUAAAGCGGGUGAAAAGCCCGCUCGCCGGAAGACCAAGGGUUCCUGUCCAACGUUAAUCGGGGCAGGGUGAGUCGACCCCUAAGGCGAGGCCGAAAGGCGUAGUCGAUGGGAAACAGGUUAAUAUUCCUGUACUUGGUGUUACUGCGAAGGGGGGACGGAGAAGGCUAUGUUGGCCGGGCGACGGUUGUCCCGGUUUAAGCGUGUAGGCUGGUUUUCCAGGCAAAUCCGGAAAAUCAAGGCCGAGGCGUGAUGACGAGGCACUACGGUGCUGAAGCAACAAAUGCCCUGCUUCCAGGAAAAGCCUCUAAGCAUCAGGUAACAUCAAAUCGUACCCCAAACCGACACAGGUGGUCAGGUAGAGAAUACCAAGGCGCUUGAGAGAACUCGGGUGAAGGAACUAGGCAAAAUGGUGCCGUAACUUCGGGAGAAGGCACGCUGAUACGUAGGUGAAGCGACUUGCUCGUGGAGCUGAAAUCAGUCGAAGAUACCAGCUGGCUGCAACUGUUUAUUAAAAACACAGCACUGUGCAAACACGAAAGUGGACGUAUACGGUGUGACGCCUGCCCGGUGCCGGAAGGUUAAUUGAUGGGGUUAGCGCAAGCGAAGCUCUUGAUCGAAGCCCCGGUAAACGGCGGCCGUAACUAUAACGGUCCUAAGGUAGCGAAAUUCCUUGUCGGGUAAGUUCCGACCUGCACGAAUGGCGUAAUGAUGGCCAGGCUGUCUCCACCCGAGACUCAGUGAAAUUGAACUCGCUGUGAAGAUGCAGUGUACCCGCGGCAAGACGGAAAGACCCCGUGAACCUUUACUAUAGCUUGACACUGAACAUUGAGCCUUGAUGUGUAGGAUAGGUGGGAGGCUUUGAAGUGUGGACGCCAGUCUGCAUGGAGCCGAC